GGGGCUGUAGCUCAGUGACAGAGCGCUUGCCUUGAAAGUGUGAGGCACUGGGUUCGAUCCUCAGCACCA
rnacentral:tRNA from 1 species